rnacentral:lncRNA from 1 species
CGGGCUGAGGAGACCUUCCUCGACACCCCACGUUAUGUGGGUUUCCGCAAGACCUUCCGCCAUUGCCUGGGCUUUGAAAGCGCUUUAGGAACGAUACGGAAACGGAGGCUUAGAAGUGGAAACUUUACAGAUAUGGAAACUGAGACUUAGAAAAAUGACCCGUCAAAGGCUCAGCUCAUCAUGAAGAAUGUCCAUGUGACUUUGGUUAAUAAAAUAAUAGAUCCAGUGGACUGUAGUCUGUUUAACUGAGACCUCACACAUAAUGUCAUGGUUGACAGUUACUGGUUGAAGGAAAUCCAUGUUGGGCUUCUGUGGAUGCUGGAUUCUUUCCUUCUGAGAAGAAAUAUAACACACUGACUUUGAGGUGAUGGUGGAGAAAAAGUACAAGCAGAAGACUUUUCCCAACUUCUCCAUAGGAUAAAUUGGUUUUUCUCAGCAAGGAUAACGUUGGGGUAAGGAAAGAAAACCAUGUUUCGGAAGGGAAAAGCCUGGGAAAAUGAGAGACAAGGAAACAUCUCUUGGCUGGAGACACACACUCAGGGUUCCUUAAGACUGGGUAGUCAUCUUGCAUUGCCUUCACAGAGAGAGCCAAAGGCUUCCAAAGAUUGUGUUGAGCCUCAUCCUGGCUCAGCUGCUUAGCUCACCCUGGGCCUGGUACAUCAGGCAAAGGCACAACUCAACUUCUGCCACUUCUUGCUCUGUUAACCAGGCUGGAUUGCAAUGAUACAAACUCAGCUCACAGCCACCUCUGCUUCCCAAACUGAAGUAAUCCUCCCUCCUUGGCCUCCUGAGUAGCUGGGACUACAGGCUGGAGUGCAGUUGCAUGAACAUGGCUCACAGCAGCCUCAACUUCCUGGGCUCAAGCAAUCCUCCUGCCUCACCCUCCAUAGUAGCUGGGACCAUAGGCAGGUGUCACCACACCCAGGUUCUGUAACUGGAGACUGCCAAUGAAACUGCCAAAAGGCAGAUUAACAGGAGAAAAGACAUACAGACUUCAUCUGAUGUUAACAGUUUAAUUUUUACAUGCAUGGAGGCCUUCAUAGAAAAGAAGUGAAGGCCUAAAGAAGUGAUUAUAACCUGGGACUUAUAUAUCAUUUUAACAAAGAGUAAUAAAUUGUGAAAAGGGGUUUGUCUUCUAAGAGCUGUUAAUUGUGAGAAGGAAAAUAUAUGGGGGAAACUAAUGGAGGAUAAGGGUUAUUUUAGUAAAGUUUGUGCAGAUCCAUUUCAGUGCUUUCUAUCUCCAGUGAUGUUAUUCUCCUGCUGGUAUGGAAAAAGGGAGGGAGAAUACCUUCACAAAGGGAAAUUUAUGCCCUAUUUUAGGAAGAUAGGAGGACAAAGAACUCUUUUUGUGUUUGCUGCUUCUUAAUUGCCUUCAGCUCAAAAUAAAUCCUUAUGCCAAA